rnacentral:rRNA from 1 species
AUUGAACGCUGGCGGCAGGCCUAACACAUGCAAGUCGAACGAGAGGCGGACGGGUGAGUAAUGUCUGGGAAACUGCCUGAUGGAGGGGGAUAACUACUGGAAACGGUAGCUAAUACCGCAUACCCUCAGAUGUGCCCAGAUGGGAUUAGCUAGUAGGUGGGGUAAUGGCUCACAUAGGCGACGAUCCCUAGAUGGUCUGAGAGGAUGACAAUCCACACUGGAACGGAGACACGGUCCAGACUCCUACGGUAGGCAGCAGUGGGGAAUAUUGCACAAUGGGCGCAAGCCUGAUGCAGCCAUGCCGCGUGUGUGAAGAAGGCCUUCGGGUUGUAAAGCACUUUCAGCGAGGAGGCGUUACUCGCAGAAGAAGCACCGGCUAACUCCGUGCCAGCAGCCGCGGUAAUAC